CGGGCCAGUAUUAAGCAUUACCCCGUGGUGGGGUUCCCGAGCGAUCAUAAGGGAGCUGACUGCAAAUUUGCCGUCAUCGACUUCAAGGUUCGACUCGAGCAAUAGUGAGAGAACGUUGCCGCAGGCAACGGCCCGAAGGGUGAGGAGCUUUAGCUCCGAAUAAUCCUUCCCGCUAUAGAA
rnacentral:sRNA from 1 species